UGACUCAAACUUGCAACCCCAUUUAUUAGCCAUCUUUUCAUGUGUUAAUUUUGCCGUCUCAAUAUUGCUGCUGUUGUUGACCGCACGCGUUUCCAUAAACAAAACACCAAAAACUUGAGGCAAGCCAAACCAAAAGCCAAACAAACAAAAUGCAGUACACAACCAAACGCGUGGCAGUCACAAGUUUUCCAAAAAACAGAGCUGGAGACGAAGUGACUAAUUUAUUUUGCAACUCACCCUUUUGGCCCACUCCUGUUUUUGGCACCAUCUUCUGGGAUACGCUGCAUCUUCUAGAGGAGUUCGUCUAUUUGUUUUCCAAACAAACCUCUUUCGCAGACAGGCAGGCGGGCAGAUGCAGCUCCACAGCCUCAUUCCCCUCUUCCUGCCAUUCAACCAAGAGAAACCACAGCAGCCCCAGCUCACUUUUCCAGCUCCUCAUCGCCUGAGUUACUCGGAUGUCUGGGCCAGUCCAUGGCUGCAUUUUUGUUUUGGUCUGUGUGGAGUAAACAAUGCACCAACAGCAGUCGAGCUGGAGGAGCAUAUGCAGGAGGGGCAGGAGAGGAUGGGGGCCAAAAGUUGGAUCCACCACAUGCCAGAUGAGUCAUGGGACCAUGGAUAUAAAAGCAAAAGCAAUUGGAAUUCUAAUUUUAAGCAAGCUUAAAUUUUAAAUACGUGUUUGUUGUUAAGAAAAUGGAUUGCUUUAUACAAAGUAUACAAAUCGGCCAUAGUUUUUCUAACUUAUAUAUUUAACAUAAUAAUGUUAA